GCCAUUCUUGAUUCAGUUUGCACUUGGGCUUAGUUCACGAGCAAUGAACUCCAGCUCAUGUUACAGUAUCUGUGUGCUUUGGAUUCCUGAGUGAGAUGAGCUAGUGAGGUGGAACCGUCCUUUCGCUUGCCAAAAGGUGGCUGAGGUUGGAUGCAAGAAAUUCUCCUGAGUCUUCUCCUAAACCACCACAUUUCCACAUGAGGAGACUCAGAAGGAAUCUGUCGGCGACAUACAGGCUUUACAUGGGGAUUUGGUGUCAGCAGCAGAUCCGUGGCUGUGUGAAGGGUGCCUUUGCUUCACUGCGAUGCAGAGAGUGAUUGCCUGCAAUGAACGUGGCCACGGAUUCCUCUCUCAUGCGAUGCCACAGUCCGGAGCCUCUGGGCAGGCCUCUCAGGGCUGGGCGAAGUCUUGGAAAAGUCCGGAUUUGCAUAUGCUAAUUUGUGUGUUCUAUAAUGCAUCCUCCCCCACCACCCAGCGCUUCCCAGAGCUUUGGGGUACUGAAUGAAAGAUGGUCCCUAGUGCUACCUCUGGUAGAGUAGGGUAGGGUAGGGUGGGGUAGGCCAGGCUUCAGGUUGAGCUUGGAGUUGUCUGCUGUCCAGUUGGAGAUGCAAGUCCAUCCAUUUAAUCCAGCCUCCCCAAACCUUGUGACUCCCAGGUGGUUUGGAGGACGCCUCCUGGCACUGCAGAGAGGACAGACACCCAGGGCUAGAGCACCUGCUGUGCAAGCAAUGAGCAGGCAGAGUUGAUGCCCAGAUCGGGCAGGAAAAAUCUGCCCGAAACCUGGAGCACUGCAACCGAUCACUGUCAGCGAUGCUGGGCCAGAUAGAGCAGGGGUCUUCACUCAGGCUAGGCAGCCUCCCAUGUUCCCAUUCCUGGCUCUUGGCCAUGCUCUCCAUGGCCGAGGGGACUUGGGUCCAAACUAUCUGAGGGGUUCCAGGCAGGAAAAAGCUGCUUUACUCCAAUACACUCCUUCAAGUGAGGUUCCUUCCUUCUCUGUGGUGGCCUCCUCCAUUAUGAAUGCUACGGAUUGUUCUGUCACAUCAGAGGACUCAUUUAUCACUGUAAGCAGUCCUGAGCCGCUCAUCAGAAAGGACGGGAUAUAAAUGUUUUAAAUAAAUAAAUAAAUACAA